UGCAUUUGGGAUCAUGGCAAAUAAAUGGC
rnacentral:piRNA from 1 species